UAAAGCUGUUUCCGUGGGGAAAAUUUGUCUUGAAAAUGAAUUUUAAGUGUUCGAUUCUCUUUAUAGCUUUAA
rnacentral:tRNA from 1 species